rnacentral:tRNA from 1 species
AAUGAUGUAGCUCAGUAGUAGAGCACUUGUCUAGCAUGCACGAGGCCCUGAGUUCAAUUCCCAGCACCACAA